AACUUCAACUGAAAAAGUCAUCAACAACAAAGUUGUAUAAUCCAUCUAGAUUUACAGUUUUUAUUUUAGUCAUUUCUUUAUCCGAUAAAGUGAUAGUAACAUUGUUCACAAAUUUUACAUCUCUCUCAUAUGGUUUCAUAAAUUAUAAGAGAGAUGUGUAAAUUUUGUGAACAAUAUUACUAUCACUUUAUCGAAUGAAGAAAUGACCAAAAUAAAAGUUAUAGAUAUUGAUGAGUUAUACAACUUUGUUGUUGAUGACUUUUUCAGUUGAAAUC
rnacentral:pre_miRNA from 1 species